rnacentral:rRNA from 1 species
AUUGAACGCUGGCGGCAGGCCUAACACAUGCAAGUCGAGCGGAGCGGCGGACGGGUGAGUAAUGCCUAGGAAUCUGACUGGUAGUGGGGGAUAACGUCAGGAAAAGGGCGCUGAUACCGCAUACUAUCAGAUGAGCCUAGGUUGGAGUAGCUAGUGGGUGGGGUAAAGGCACACCAAGGCGAAGAUGAGUAACUGGUCUGAGAGGAUGAUCAGUCACACUGGAACUGAGACACGGUCCAGACUCCUACGGGAGGCAGCAGUGGGGAAUUUUGGACAAUGGGCGAAAGCCUGAUCCAGCCAUGCCGCGUGUGUGAAGAAGGUCUUCGGAUUGUAAAGCACUUUAAGUUGGGAGGCGUUACCAACAGAAUAAGCACCGGCUAACUUCGUGCCAGCAGCCGCGGUAAUUC